rnacentral:rRNA from 1 species
UACGAAGGGGGCUAGCGUUGCUCGGAAUCACUGGGCGUAAAGGGCGCGUAGGCGGCCAUUCAAGUCAGAGGUGAAAGCCCAAGGCUCAACCUUGGAACUGCCUUUGAUACUGUUUGGCUUGAGACCGGUAGAGGUAAGUGGAACUGCGAGUGUAAGAGGUGAAAUUCGUAGAUAUUCGCAAGAACACCAGUGGCGAAGGCGGCUUACUGGACCGGUUCUGACGCUGAGGCGCGAAAGCGUGGGGAGCA